GGUUACCCUGGCGGGUUAUAUAUCAUCUGCUGUGUAUAUGGAGUCUCAACGAUUACUAAAACAACUUAUACAUAGCAAAACCUAACUCCGAGUCAACAACAGCAGUUCACGACACUCAACGAGAAGCUGCAGAAUUCUAAA